CGGGGUGAGUAACGCGUGGAUAACCUGCCUCACACUGGGGGAUAACAGUUAGAAAUGACUGCUAAUACCGCAUAAGCGCACAGUACCGCAUGGUACAGUGUGAAAAACUCCGGUGGUGUGAGAUGGAUCCGCGUCUGAUUAGCCAGUUGCGGGUAACGGCCCACCAAAGCGACGAUCAGUAGCCGACCUGAGAGGGUGACCGGCCACAUUGGGACUGAGACACGGCCCAA
rnacentral:rRNA from 1 species